GUCCUGAACUUGCAUAGAUAUUUGACACUGGAUGUUUAAAAAUCAAUCAAUCAACUGGCUUCCAGUAAUUUUGAGUACUCUUAGUCUCAGAUCUGCGUGUAAUGGCCAGCCCACAAUUAUUCAAAUUCCUAAGCAGGUAGGGAUUUUACAGUAGAGGAUAUAAAGAAAUACGAAUUUCUUGAAUUUUGUUAGGCAUUGACUUUGUGUGUAUGUGUUUGUGUGGCUAGGGUGAAGGUUUAAGAUUCAAAAGAUUGAUGGUUGAUGUCUAGAAUAGUUUUAUUAUAUAUAGUAAGAUCAGUGUUCACGUGCCUAUUUUUUAAUGAAGGAUCGUCAAUAUGUACUAUAAAUUAAGUUAAAAGUAUAUAUCAAUCAGAACGGA
rnacentral:lncRNA from 1 species